rnacentral:tRNA from 1 species
AUUCUUAUAGUUUAAUAAAACACUUUAUUUUCAUUAAAGAAAUGAUUAAGUAAUCUAUGAAUA